UUUUUUGGAGAGUUUGAUCCUGGCUCAGGACGAACGCUGGCGGCGUGCCUAAUACAUGCAAGUCGAGCGGAGUAAGGUGAAACUUGUUUCACCUAGCUUAGCGGCGGACGGGUGAGUAACACGUAGGUAACCUGCCCAUAAGACUGGGAUAACUACCGGAAACGGUAGCUAAUACCGGAUAGGUUCUUCUCUCGCAUGGGAGGGGAAAGAAAGACGGAGUAAUC
rnacentral:rRNA from 1 species